rnacentral:tRNA from 1 species
GGAGGUAUAGCUCAGUGGUAGAGCACAUGCUUAGCAUGUACAAAGUCCUGGGUUCAACCCCUAGUACCUCCU